rnacentral:rRNA from 1 species
GAUGAACGCUGGCGGCGUGCCUAAUACAUGCAAGUCGAGCGAACAGACGAGGAGCUUGCUCCUCUGACGUUAGCGGCGGACGGGUGAGUAACACGUGGAUAACCUACCUAUAAGACUGGGAUAACUUCGGGAAACCGGAGCUAAUACCGGAUAAUAUAUUGAACCGCAUGGUUCAAUAGUGAAAGACGGUUUUGCUGUCACUUAUAGAUGGAUCCGCGCCGCAUUAGCUAGUUGGUAAGGUAACGGCUUACCAAGGCAACGAUGCGUAGCCGACCUGAGAGUGUGACCGGCCACACUGGAACUGAGACACGGUCCAGACUCCUACGGGAGGCAGAAGUAGGGAAUCUUCCGCAAUGGGCGAAAGCCUGACGGAGCAACGCCGCGUGAGUGAUGAAGGUCUUCGGAUCGUAAAACUCUGUUAUUAGGGAAGAACAAAUGUGUAAGUAACUAUGCACGUCUUGACGGUACCUAAUCAGAAAGCCACGGCUAACUACGUG